AGCGAACGCUGGCGGCAGGCUUAACACAUGCAAGUCGAGCGGGCCCUUCGGGGUCAGCGGCAGACGGGUGAGUAACACGUGGGAACGUACCCUUUGGUUCGGAAUAACGCUGGGAAACUAGCGCUAAUACCGGAUACGCCCUUUUGGGGAAAGGCUUGCUGCCGAAGGAUCGGCCCGCGUCUGAUUAGCUUGUUGGUGGGGUAAUGGCCUACCAAGGCGACGAUCAGUAGCUGGUCUGAGAGGAUGAUCAGCCACACUGGGACUGAGACACGGCCCAGACUCCUACGGGAAGCAGCAGUGGGGGAUAUUGGAAAAUGGGGGCAGGGCUGAUCCAGCCAUGCCGCGUGAGUGAUGAAGGCCUUAGGGUUGUAAAGCUCUUUUGUCCGGGACGAUAAUGACGGUACCGGAAGAAUAAGCCCCGGCUAACUUCGUG
rnacentral:rRNA from 1 species